rnacentral:rRNA from 1 species
GGGUUGUAAACUUCUUUUAUAUGGGAAUAAAGUUUUCCACGUGUGGAAUUUUGUAUGUACCAUAUGAAUAAGGAUCGGCUAACUCCGUGCCAGCAGCCGCGGUAAUACGGAGGAUCCGAGCGUUAUCCGGAUUUAUUGGGUUUAAAGGGAGCGUAGGUGGACAGUUAAGUCAGUUGUGAAAGUUUGCGGCUCAACCGUAAAAUUGCAGUUGAUACUGGCUGUCUUGAGUACAGUAGAGGUGGGCGGAAUUCGUGGUGUAGCGGUGAAAUGCUUAGAUAUCACGAAGAACUCCGAUUGCGAAGGCAGCUCACUGGACUGCAACUGACACUGAUGCUCGAAAGUGUGGGUAUCAAACAGGAUUAGAUACCCUGGUAGUCCACACAGUAAA